rnacentral:rRNA from 1 species
AGCGUACACGGUGGAUGCCCUGGCAGUCAGAGGCGAUGAAGGACGUGCUAAUCUGCGAUAAGCGUCGGUGAGGUGAUAUGAACCGUUAUAACCGGCGAUUUCCGAAUGGGGAAACCCAGUGUGUUUCGACACACUAUCAUUAACUGAAUCCAUAGGUUAAUGAGGCGAACCGGGGGAACUGAAACAUCUAAGUACCCCGAGGAAAAGAAAUCAACCGAGAUUCCCCCAGUAGCGGCGAGCGAACGGGGAGGAGCCCAGAGCCUGAAUCAGUGUGUGUGUUAGUGGAAGCGUCUGGAAAGGCGCGCGAUACAGGGUGACAGCCCCGUACACAAAAAUGCACAUGCUGUGAGCUCGAUGAGUAGGGCGGGACACGUGGUAUCCUGUCUGAAUAUGGGGGGACCAUCCUCCAAGGCUAAAUACUCCUGACUGACCGAUAGUGAACCAGUACCGUGAGGGAAAGGCGAAAAGAACCCCGGCGAGGGGAGUGAAAAAGAACCUGAAACCGUGUACGUACAAGCAGUGGGAGCCUCUUAAUGGGGUGACUGCGUACCUUUUGUAUAAUGGGUCAGCGACUUAUAUUCUGUAGCAAGGUUAACCGAAUAGGGGAGCCGAAGGGAAACCGAGUCUUAACUGGGCGUUAAGUUGCAGGGUAUAGACCCGAAACCCGGUGAUCUAGCCAUGGGCAGGUUGAAGGUUGGGUAACACUAACUGGAGGACCGAACCGACUAAUGUUGAAAAAUUAGCGGAUGACUUGUGGCUGGGGGUGAAAGGCCAAUCAAACCGGGAGAUAGCUGGUUCUCCCCGAAAGCUAUUUAGGUAGCGCCUCGUGAAUUCAUCUCCGGGGGUAGAGCACUGUUUCGGCAAGGGGGUCAUCCCGACUUACCAACCCGAUGCAAACUGCGAAUACCGGAGAAUGUUAUCACGGGAGACACACGGCGGGUGCUAACGUCCGUCGUGAAGAGGGAAACAACCCAGACCGCCAGCUAAGGUCCCAAAGUCAUGGUUAAGUGGGAAACGAUGUGGGAAGGCCCAGACAGCCAGGAUGUUGGCUUAGAAGCAGCCAUCAUUUAAAGAAAGCGUAAUAGCUCACUGGUCGAGUCGGCCUGCGCGGAAGAUGUAACGGGGCUAAACCAUGCACCGAAGCUGCGGCAGCGACACUAUGUGUUGUUGGGUAGGGGAGCGUUCUGUAAGCCUGUGAAGGUGGCCUGUGAGGGUUGCUGGAGGUAUCAGAAGUGCGAAUGCUGACAUAAGUAACGAUAAAGCGGGUGAAAAGCCCGCUCGCCGGAAGACCAAGGGUUCCUGUCCAACGUUAAUCGGGGCAGGGUGAGUCGACCCCUAAGGCGAGGCCGAAAGGCGUAGUCGAUGGGAAACAGGUUAAUAUUCCUGUACUUGGUGUUACUGCGAAGGGGGGACGGAGAAGGCUAUGUUGGCCGGGCGACGGUUGUCCCGGUUUAAGCGUGUAGGCUGGUUUUCCAGGCAAAUCCGGAAAAUCAAGGCUGAGGCGUGAUGACGAGGCACUACGGUGCUGAAGCGACAAAUGCCCUGCUUCCAGGAAAAGCCUCUAAGCAUCAGGUAACAUCAAAUCGUACCCCAAACCGACACAGGUGGUCAGGUAGAGAAUACCAAGGCGCUUGAGAGAACUCGGGUGAAGGAACUAGGCAAAAUGGUGCCGUAACUUCGGGAGAAGGCACGCUGAUAUGUAGGUGAAGCGACUUGCUCGUGGAGCUGAAAUCAGUCGAAGAUACCAGCUGGCUGCAACUGUUUAUUAAAAACACAGCACUGUGCAAACACGAAAGUGGACGUAUACGGUGUGACGCCUGCCCGGUGCCGGAAGGUUAAUUGAUGGGGUUAGCGGUAACGCGAAGCUCUUGAUCGAAGCCCCGGUAAACGGCGGCCGUAACUAUAACGGUCCUAAGGUAGCGAAAUUCCUUGUCGGGUAAGUUCCGACCUGCACGAAUGGCGUAAUGAUGGCCAGGCUGUCUCCACCCGAGACUCAGUGAAAUUGAACUCGCUGUGAAGAUGCAGUGUACCCGCGGCAAGACGGAAAGACCCCGUGAACCUUUACUAUAGCUUGACACUGAACAUUGAGCCUUGAUGUGUAGGAUAGGUGGGAGGCUUUGAAGUGUGGACGCCAGUCUGCAUGGAGCCGACCUUGAAAUACCACCCUUUAAUGUUUGAUGUUCUAACGUGGGCCCGUAAUCCGGGUUGCGGACAGUGUCUGGUGGGUAGUUUGACUGGGGCGGUCUCCUCCUAAAGAGUAACGGAGGAGCACGAAGGUUGGCUAAUCCUGGUCGGACAUCAGGAGGUUAGUGCAAUGGCAUAAGCCAGCUUGACUGCGAGCGUGACGGCGCGAGCAGGUGCGAAAGCAGGUCAUAGUGAUCCGGUGGUUCUGAAUGGAAGGGCCAUCGCUCAACGGAUAAAAGGUACUCCGGGGAUAACAGGCUGAUACCGCCCAAGAGUUCAUAUCGACGGCGGUGUUUGGCACCUCGAUGUCGGCUCAUCACAUCCUGGGGCUGAAGUAGGUCCCAAGGGUAUGGCUGUUCGCCAUUUAAAGUGGUACGCGAGCUGGGUUUAGAACGUCGUGAGACAGUUCGGUCCCUAUCUGCCGUGGGCGCUGGAGAACUGAGGGGGGCUGCUCCUAGUACGAGAGGACCGGAGUGGACGCAUCACUGGUGUUCGGGUUGUCAUGCCAAUGGCACUGCCCGGUAGCUAAAUGCGGAAGAGAUAAGUGCUGAAAGCAUCUAAGCACGAAACUUGCCCCGAGAUGAGUUCU